GCCCCCGCCUGGUGGCGUCUCCUGCCCGCAGCUCCGCGCAGCCCCAGGAUUACGGUGGGAUCAUGGCAGGGCUGGGCUCCGAUCCCUGGUGGAAGAAAACCCUUUACUUGACCGGGGGAGCUUUGCUGGCCGCAGCUGCGUAUCUGCUCCACGAACUCCUGGUCAUUAGGAAACAGCAAGAGAUUGACUCUAAAGAUGCUAUUAUUUUGCAUCAGUUUGCAAGACCUAACAAUGGUGUUCCCAGUUUAUCUCCUUUCUGUUUAAAGAUGGAAACUUAUUUAAGGAUGGCUGACUUACCGUAUCAGAACUAUUUUGGUGGAAAACUCUCUGCUCAAGGGAAAAUGCCUUGGAUUGAAUAUAAUCAUGAAAAAGUUUCUGGCACAGAAUUCAUAAUUGACUUUCUGGAAGAGAAACUUGGAGUGAAUUUAAACAAAAACCUUGGCCCUCAUGAAAGAGCCAUCUCCAGAGCGGUGACCAAGAUGGUGGAGGAGCACUUCUACUGGACGUUAGCUUAUUGCCAGUGGGUGGACAAUCUCAAUGAGACCCGGAAGAUGCUCUCUCUUAGUGGUGGUGGUCCCUUCAGCAACCUGCUGAGGUGGGUCGUGUGCCACAUAACGAAAGGAAUUGUGAAACGCGAGAUGCACGGCCACGGCAUUGGCCGCUUCUCCGAGGAAGAGAUUUACAUGC
rnacentral:sRNA from 1 species